rnacentral:misc_RNA from 1 species
CGGCUCUUACCGGCCGUUUCCAUUGCGCACCAUCUUCGCCGUUACACGAACACAUACGCCCAAGCAGCCUUCGUGCGGCACGCAUCGACAGAGAGAAUGCUUGUAGAGCGGGAGGUGAUAACGCUGGCCUUUGGCAACUACAGCUCUCUCGUGGCGGCACAGUGGGCCAACGGCACGUCGCGCUACGAUGCCCAUCACAACACCCUCUACUCCGAGUGCCGCAGCGCGGACGUGUUAGGCGGAGGCAGCAGCGGCAAUAGGCGUGUGCGGGUGCCACGUCUUCUGUUGCUGGACGCCCCUUACGCGAGCGCCUUCGACGACAUCGACGUCUGGGCGCGCAAAUACAAGGAUGAUGCCAAAAGCGGCGAAGAGGGCGACGCUGCGUACAACCCCUCCGCAGCCUCACCGUCGCCUGUGCACCGGGGCAAUGCCGCUGAGGAAGAGGACCAUCUCCUCGCGAGCGUGGCCAAAGCCGUGCAGCGUCACGUCUUUGAACAGCAUGGCCUCGACGACGACGACGACGACGACGAUGGCAGCCGCGGUGGCAACGAUGAUGUUGGGGGUGCAGACGACGCGCAGAACGACGACGGAGAAGACGCGGAUGCGCACUUGCUCGACGAAGACAAGAAAGACGAAGUGAACAAGAAUGCUGACCGACGCGGCAGUGCUACCAUACCCCACUCUCGAGCACAACGUCAAGCGCGCUUAAAGCAGAAGCUCUUCGAUGAGCGCAACACUACGAUCCCGUGGUGGCAGUACAUUACCACCGGCCUCGGGCCGAACAGUGUCACCUCCGUCAAGCCACUUCAGCACGUGGAUGCAGCUGGCGAUCUGCCGGCGCUGCACAGCUUCGGCUACGGCCUGGCUUACCUCCGCGACGGUGGCAGAUCAAGCGAGGUGGUAGACUUCAACGAAGCUCUGCGCCACAACCUUGAGGCAGCUGAUCAGCUGCAAGGUGUCCAGUGCUUCACCGACGGCGACGGUCUCUUUGGUGGAGCGGCCGCGAACGUGCUCGAGCAGCUGUGGGAGGAGGCAGGCCCCAAUACGCCGGUCGUGCAGGCAUGUUCAUUUGCCCGCCUGCCGGCACCUGUGGCCGACCCAGCCUAUCGCGCCGAGGUCGCGUUCCGCGAGCGCCGCAUGGACGAAGUUGCGCUGAACCAGCUGCUCGCCACGCUGCACCUCUCACGUCACACGUCCGCCGUGUACAUCCCGGUGCCUCUGUCGGACUGGGACGUCUUGUUCAAGGGCGCCGCGGCCGCCGCGUCGCCCACAGAGGUGCCGCCGUGGCUGGAAGACGAGAGGGCGACGGCGCAGCUGCUGGCGGCUGUCAUGGACACGGCUUUGUACGGACUCCGCGACGGUAGCCGUGCGAGUGGGGUCUCGUCGCAGGGUCCGCAGUGGUACAUGGAUGAGUGGUGCCGGGUGGUGCGACCAGCGCCGUCACUGCGGGUGGCGGCUGCUAUGGGCGCUCUGCCGCAGUCCGUGUCGGCCUCGUCGGAGCUGUGGGAGUUCUUGCAGGCAAACCCGCUCUUGCCCGACGCGCCACAGCUCGACGAGCGCAUGGCUCGUGCAAACGAUAGCGCCGAGGACGACACCAGCUCCGGACAGGCGCAGCUGCAGGCCAAGUUCUUUUCGCUGACGCACAGCAUGUCGACCUACUCGACUGCCCACACGGCCGGUCAAGUGCUUGGUCACGCGGUUAGCCUGCGCGGUGCCGGAUGCCUACCUGCGACAGUGUACCCGGCGCGUGAGGCGAUGCUGCGCUACGCCCUCCCUCUUCGCACCUCCACCUACUUGCCGCUCCUGACGGAGGUAAGCUACCCCAUCUCCGACACCUUCCCGACGGAGCUCCUUUUUGCCGAUCCCGCUGCGAUGGCGAAGGUGCCGGGUGGUGCGCCCUGGAGCGGCGGCAGUGCGGGCAUCACGUCGCUGCGCUGUGCCCUGCAGAGCGUGGAUGUCGGGGCCCAUGUGCUGAGCACGUAUGCCACGGCGCCGAUGUUGCGCGACAUCAACACCAAGGCGCAGGCGGCACUGCGCAACAAGAUGGACCGUUACUGCGACGCGUACGUGAUGGAAAAAGACGACUGGCGUGAGGCGCUGGAGGAGGGGCUGGCGCUCUUCGACGACUACAACCACGCCCCCCUGUCGAACGCCGAAGACGGCGGCGGCAGCGACGGGGAUGACUACUAGGCUUGAGGAGCGCAGACGCGUAGACAAGGCGAAGGGGGACACCGUUGUGGGUUCACCCUGUGUCGGCAUGCCUUGGUGUGUGUGCGUGUGUGCACGCCUUGUUAUUCGUGCGUCCUUGAUGAAAUAGGCGAGGAAGGCGAUCCUUUAACUAAGUAAGGAAAGGCUGGGAGAAGGAAGGAGGGGAAGUCGAGGCGUGAAAGGGAUGAGGGCAGAAGAGGGAGGCUCGGUCGCUCUCCCUCUCUCUGUCUGUAUGUCUGUCCACCGCCUCCCGCCUUGCGUCGCCUCUGUGCCCGUGUGGUAAACCAAGAAGUUCAGAAGAGCAUCGACUGCGCGUUCCGUGCUCACGUGAUGCUCCGGCGAGUCUCAGAUCUCGGUGCGCCUGCUUUUCGACGUCGAGGAGACAGACAGAGGGCAGGGUAGAUGCGCCGCCAAACUCAACAGCCUGCGAAUGCUGUCCCCGUUGUGUGGCAGCGAUGACCAACUCUGCAUGUAUGCGUAUCUCGGUGGCACGAUCGCUCGUGGAGGGCGCCUUCCGCAACCUCGCUCUCCAACUUUUCGCCCUCUCACCGGCGCCUCUCCCUUCUCGAUCGACUGCACUUGCAG